AUUAACUAAGAGUUCACUCAGAACUGACUAUAAAUGGACAAGAGCAAAAUUUUUCCAUAAUGAAACUUUAAAAAUAAAAAAACCCAUGCUCAAAUCUAGUUUAAAAUGGUGCUUGGCAGAAUUCAGUGAGUUUCUAAGCAGUGAGUGAGCCACGGAGUAUGUUGGUGAGUGAAAGAGUGAACAAAUGAAAACUAAUUUCCCAGAAGUCUCUCUGGUAAGCCUUAACUAGGCCCACAUAUUUCAUGCACUCCACUCAGCAAGUUAUGUGUAAUAGUUAUGUAAUGAUAUUACAAUUCACUGUGAUAUAACUACUACACCAUCCACACACACACACACACAUAUACAGGAGAGGAUAAAAGUACGUUAUAGUUCU